rnacentral:rRNA from 1 species
ACGAACGCUGGCGGCGUGCUUAACACAUGCAAGUCGAACGGAAAGGCCCUGCUUUUGUGGGGUGCUCGAGUGGCGAACGGGUGAGUAACACGUGAGUAACCUGCCCUUGACUUUGGGAUAACUUCAGGAAACUGGGACUAAUACCGGAUAGGAGCUCCUGCUGCAUGGUGGGGGUUGGAAAGUUUCGGCGGUUGGGGAUGGACUCGCGGCUUAUCAGCUUGUUGGUGGGGUAGUGGCUUACCAAGGCUUUGACGGGUAGCCGGCCUGAGAGGGUGACCGGCCACAUUGGGACUGAGAUACGGCCCAGACUCCUACGGGAGGCAGCAGUGGGGAAUAUUGCACAAUGGGCGGAAGCCUGAUGCAGCAACGCCGCGUGCGGGAUGACGGCCUUCGGGUUGUAAACCGCUUUCGCCUGUGACGAAGCGUGAGUGACGGUAAUGGGUAAAGAAGCACCGGCUAACUACGUG